rnacentral:rRNA from 1 species
UACGGGGGGGGCAAGCGUUGUUCGGAAUUACUGGGCGUAAAGGGCUCGUAGGCGGCCAACUAAGUCAGACGUGAAAUCCCUCGGCUUAACCGGGGAACUGCGUCUGAUACUGGAUGGCUUGAGUUUGGGAGAGGGAUGCGGAAUUCCAGGUGUAGCGGUGAAAUGCGUAGAUAUCUGGAGGAACACCGGUGGCGAAGGCGGCAUUCUGGACCGAUAUUGACGCUGAGGAGCGAAAGCGUGGGGAGCAAACAGG